rnacentral:rRNA from 1 species
AACGCUGGCGGCGUGCCUAACACAUGCAAGUCGAACGGGGAUUUGUUUCGGCAGAAUCCUAGUGGCGAACGGGUGAGUAACGCGUAGGCAACCUGCCCUCCGGCCGGGGACAACACUCCGAAAGGGGUGCUAAUACCGGAUACGAAGUCUGUGCCGCAUGGUACGGAUUUGAAAGAUGGCCUCUGUUUACAAGCUAUCGCCGGGGGAUGGGCCUGCGUCCGAUUAGCUGGUUGGUGGGUAACGGCCUACCAAGGCGACGAUCGGUAGCCGGUCUGAGAGGAUGAACGGCCACAUUGGGACUGAGACACGGCCCAGACUCCUACGGGAGGCAGCAGUGGGGAAUCUUCCGCAAUGGGCGCAAGCCUGACGGAGCAACGCCGCCGUGAGUGAGGAAGUUCUUCGGAACGUAAAGCUCUGUUGUUCCUGACGAACCUCCCCUCUAUCAACAACGGAGGGGACUGACGGUAGGGAACGAGGAAGCCACGGCUAACUACGUGCCAGCCGCCGC